GCUCAUUAAAUCAGUUAUCGUUUAUUUGAUAGUACCUUACUACUUGGAUAACCGUGGUAAUUCUAGAGCUAAUACAUGCUAAAAAUCCCGACUUCGGAAGGGAUGUAUUUAUUAGAUUAAAAACCAAUGCCCUCUGGGCUCACUGGUGAUUCAUAAUAACUUCUCGAAUCGCACGGCCUUGCGCCGGCGAUGGUUCAUUCAAAUUUCUGCCCUAUCAACUUUCGACGGCUGGGUCUUGGCCAGCCAUGGUGACAACGGGUAACGGAGGGUUAGGGCUCGACCCCGGAGAAGGAGCCUGAGAAACGGCUACUACAUCCAAGGAAGGCAGCAGGCGCGCAAAUUACCCAAUCCCGAUUCGGGGAGGUAGUGACAAUAAAUACUGAUACAGGGCUCUUUUGGGUCUUGUAAUUGGAAUGAGUACAAUUUAAAUCCCUUAACGAGGAACAAUUGGAGGGCAAGUCUGGUGCCAGCAGCCGCGGUAAUUCCAGCUCCAAUAGCGUAUAUUAAAGUUGUUGCGGUUAAAAAGCUCGUAGUUGAAACUUGGGCCUAGCUGGCCGGUCCGCCUCACCGCGUGCACUGGUCCGGCCGGGCCUUUCCCUCUGGGGAACCGCAUGCCCUUCACUGGGCGUGUCGGGGAACCAGGACUUUUACUUUGAAAAAAUUAGAGUGUUCAAAGCAGGCCUAUGCUCGAAUACAUUAGCAUGGAAUAAUAGAAUAGGACGUUGCGGUUCUAUUUUGUUGGUUUCUAGGACCGCCGUAAUGAUUAAUAGGGACAGUCGGGGGCAUCAGUAUUCAAUUGUCAGAGGUGAAAUUCUUGGAUUUAUUGAAGACUAACUACUGCGAAAGCAUUUGCCAAGGAUGUUUUCAUUAAUCAGGAACGAAAGUUAGGGGAUCGAAGACGAUCAGAUACCGUCGUAGUCUUAACCAUAAACUAUGCGAACUAGGGAUCGGACGAUGUUAUUUUUUGACUCGUUCGGCACCUUACACGAAAGUACAAGUUUCUGCGUCC
rnacentral:rRNA from 1 species